rnacentral:rRNA from 1 species
GUAGUCCACGCCGUAAACGAUGAGUGCUAGGUGUUGGGGGGUUCCACCCUCAGUGCUGACGUUAACACAUUAAGCACUCCGCCUGGGGAGUACGGCCGCAAGGCUGAAACUCAAAGGAAUUGACGGGGGCCCGCACAAGCAGUGGAGCAUGUGGUUUAAUUCGAAGCAACGCGAAGAACCUUACCAGGUCUUGACAUCCUUCGCAACUUCUAGAGAUAGAAGGUUCCCCUUCGGGGGACGAAGUGACAGGUGGUGCAUGGUUGUCGUCAGCUCGUGUCGUGAGAUGUUGGGUUAAGUCCCGCAACGAGCGCAACCCUUGAUCUUAGUUGCCAGCAUUCAGUUGGGCACUCUAAGGUGACUGCCGGUGACAAACCGGA